rnacentral:tRNA from 1 species
UCCUCCUUAGCUCAGUCGGUAGAGCAACGGACUGUUAAUCCGCAGGUCACUGGUUCAAGUCCAGUAGGGGGAGCCA